UGAAUAAGUUCUGAAUUUCAUUUACAAAAAGAUGAACAGCCUUGAAUAUACCAAAGCAAUGGAUUGGUUUGUCAAAUAUCUAAGUAGUUCUUGAAUGAUUAGACUGUAAUAUUGUCAAAUAUUCAGGCAUAUUUAUGCAUGGCAACAAAAUCAUAACGCCUAGUUUUGCUAAGAACUAACAUUACAGAAAAAUAUUAAU